ACCACUAAUUGAGGGAGUGAAGAAGGCAGCAGCUCGCUUCUAACUGGACUGCAGCAUAGGGUCCUCAAGAUUCGUCCAUGUCGUAGAGUGUGAACUUCUUACAAGGAGAAGAGUUUUGUUCAUAAGUGUCUCAGAUCUGGGACAGUGUCCUGAGCUGGCAGCAGACCUACCCGACUUUCACUAGAACUCAGCUUUCACAUUCCAGAAAACAUGACCCUUGCUGCCUACAAAGAGAAGAUGAAGGAGCUCCCCCUGGUGUCCCUGUUCUGCUCCUGCUUCCUGGCCGAUCCCCUGAAUAAGUCAUCCUAUAAAUAUGAAGCGGACACGGUGGACCUGAACUGGUGUGUAAUUUCUGACAUGGAAGUCAUUGAGCUGAAUAAAUGCACCUCAGGCCAGUCCUUUGAAGUCAUCCUGAAGCCGCCCUCCUUUGAUGGGGUGCCCGAGUUCAAUGCCUCCCUACCCAGACGGCGAGACCCAUCACUGGAAGAAAUCCAGAAGAAACUGGAAGCAGCUGAGGAGCGAAGGAAGUACCAGGAAGCUGAGCUCCUGAAGCACCUGGCAGAGAAACGAGAACAUGAAAGGGAGGUGAUCCAAAAAGCCAUUGAGGAGAACAACAACUUCAUCAAGAUGGCUAAGGAAAAACUGGCCCAGAAGAUGGAAUCCAAUAAGGAGAACCGGGAGGCCCACCUUGCUGCCAUGUUGGAACGGCUGCAAGAGAAGGACAAGCACGCAGAGGAGGUGCGGAAAAACAAGGAGCUGAAGGAAGAGGCCUCCAGGUAAAGCCCAGAGGCACAGAGGUUUCCAGAAUGCCGGACCGCUCCAGCAGCUCCGCAGUUCCUGAGGCAGCCUCGCCCACCGCUGGCUGCUCUCCCAGCACUGGGGUUUGGGGGGAGGGGGGUGGCCAGGGGCGUUUCCUCUGCUUUUGGUGUUUGUACAUGUAAAGAAUUGACCAGUGAAGCCAUCCUAUUUGUUUCAGGGGAACAAUGAUGGGGUGGGAGAGGGGAGAGGAGAGAGGUUGGGAAAGGGAGAUGGAAGAGGACUCAUGGACAUUGCAACCCAGCCUGGGUCACGUCCUCGGGCUUUUCUUCACAGUGAGCAUCCGGGCACCGCCUUGAGGGAAGUUAAAAACAGGCAGUAGAACUCUGAGGGUAAGGCAGAGCCCUGGGUGGAGCGAGAACUGCAGGGCGUGGCCUGAGACGCCAGCAGGGAGUGGGGCCCUCCACCUGAGGCAGUGGGAUGAGGUCUGAGUGUGUGUGUGUGUUAACCAUUAUCUUUUGAUCAUCAUGACCAAUAAUGAAACA
rnacentral:lncRNA from 1 species